rnacentral:rRNA from 1 species
GAUGAACGCUGGCGGCAGGCCUAACACAUGCAAGUCGAGCGGACGGACGGAGCUCGCGCCUGGCUUUAGUGGCGGACGGGUGAGUAAUGCCUAGGUAGCUGCCUGGUAGAGGGGGAUGACGUACGGGAACGGGAGCUGAUCCCGUAUCGGUUAAUAGGGUGAAAGGGGGGGUUCUUUAGAGCUCAAGCGAUUUGCUGUGCCUAGGAGGGAUAACCGGGUCGGAUUAGUUAGUUGGUACGGUAACGGCUUACCAAGGCGACGAUGCGUAGCCGAGCUGAGAGGGUGAUCAGCCACACUGGAACUGAGACACGGUCCAGACUCCUACGGGAGGCAGCAGUGGGGAAUAUUGGGCAAUGGGCGAAAGCCUGACCCAGCCAUGCCGCGUGAGUGAAGAAGGUCUUCGGAUUGUAAAGCACUGUUAGUUGGGAAGAACGACUGUGAGUGUAACCCUGCAUGUUUUGACGGUACCAACUGAAUAAGCACCGGCUAACUACGUG